CCUUACCACAUGGCGGUCAUGUGAUACGUGGUUGAGUAUAGUUAACAUGGCGGGAAGUUAAACUGGUAAAAUUUCUUGUAAAGAGCAAUCUAAUAUUGGAUUAUUGUUAGUAGAAUUUUGAUCAGACUGUAAAAUGGCGAACGUAGCAACGAACACACUGAUAAAGAGUGUAUUUCUUCUGUUAAAUUUCCUCAUACACUAUUCAGUUGACGGGAAGAAAUGUUUUACGUGUUCCUCACUGUAUGACAAUCGAUGUCGCGACCCUUUUACAUCUGUCAGUGAAUUUAUUGUUAACUGUCCACGUGGGAGCGAAUGUAGAAAGCUGAUUAUUGGAAACGAAAUUCGUCGAAACUGUUCAAAUGAUGGCGCCCAACCUCAAGAAUCCAGCUCUGAAAAAUUGGCAGAAGUUUGUUUUCAGCAACUUUUAAAGAUCACGGAUACCAUUCCGUUCGUUGGAACCAAAACAGAAACGCGCUUAGUAACCGUCUGCAACUGUGAACGUGCAUUAUGUAAUUUAAGUACAAAUUUAAUCUCGCCGCCAUUUUACUGCCAUACUUGCCUGGUUUUCAUAUUAAUAUUUAUUAUUUAUUACUGAGCUAAAAUAAAUAGAUUCACUCUCA